rnacentral:rRNA from 1 species
UACGUAGGGUCCGAGCGUUGUCCGGAAUUACUGGGCGUAAAGAGCUCGUAGGUGGUUUGUCGCGUUGUUCGUGAAAACUCACAGCUUAACUGUGGGCGUGCGGGCGAUACGGGCAGACUUGAGUACUGCAGGGGAGACUGGAAUUCCUGGUGUAGCGGUGGAAUGCGCAGAUAUCAGGAGGAACACCGAUGGCGAAGGCAGGUCACUGGGCCGCAACUGACGCUGAGGAGCGAAAGCAUGGGGAGCGAACAGG